CCGCCAACAUCUCAUCGUGUCGGAACCUGAUAUCACCGACCAGAAGCCAUCAAAGCCGAAACGUUUAUCUUCCCUUGACAUCUUCCGAGGCCUCACAGUCGCUUUGAUGAUUUUGGUCGAUGAUGCCGGUGGAGAGUGGCCUAUGAUUGGGCAUGCGCCAUGGAAUGGUUGCAAUCUCGCUGACUUUGUGAAGCCGUUUUUCCUCUUCAUUGUGGGAAUGUCUAUUGCACUUUCUCUCAAGAUUUGAUUUUUUUAUCCAUCAUUUGGUGUCCCCAGAAUAUUUCAAGACUGUCAAUAGUCACUGCACUACGUUGCAUUCCGUGGUUGCUUGAUAGAGUUUUUCUUAUAGAGAAUACCACACCAACUUUUGGCUGUCAAGAAGGUGAUUCUUAGAACUCUCAAGCUCCUUUUCUGGGGUCUCCUAUUACAAGGAGGUUUCUCACAUGCUCCUGACAAGCUAACAUAUGGUGUUGACAUGAAAGAGAUAAGGUGGUGUGGGAUUAUCCAGGGAAAGCAGAAGAAAAAGAUAUGGUGAAGGAUCCAAGCUGAGUACAGGGUUUGAGAGACAAACCAGGGGAUCGGACAUAUUCCAUCCCGUCCUUUUUUUACUUCCAUUGAGACCAAGAAAGAGUUCAAUUUUACAUCCCUGUUAAAAAAAAAUUAAUACAUGACAAAUUUUAUUAAUUUCGCGCCUGAGAAGGUGAGGAGUAAAUCAAAAAAAAAAAAGGGUGAGGAGUAAAUCCAUGAAAUAAUUGGAGGAAAAUCAUUCGAUCUUUUUAUUAAAAUUAUACCAUGUAACGGUGCCAUAACAAUCUACAA